rnacentral:misc_RNA from 1 species
UUUCCGUAGGUGAACCUGCGGAAGGAUCAUUAUUGUAUAAUCGAUGAAGGAGGUCUUUCGCUUACAUAACAGGAUGUGCAGGACCGAGUGCCCUGACACCCAUCUAUCACAACCCUAUGUGCAACAACGCGUGGGUCCCCAUUUGGCUUGUUGGGAGAGAGGCUUACGUUUUCACUUAAACACAGUAUGCAGUGUAGAGUGUAUCUUUUCUUUUUGCGAGCACGCAAACAAUACAACUUUGAAGAACGGAACUCUUGGCUCUCGUAUCGAUGAAGAAGG